AGGAUAGCCAUUGGAAACGAUGGAUAAAACUGGAUAGGAUAUAGAGGAAGAAUCUUUUAUAUUUAAAAGAGAGAUCUGCUUAAGGAGGGGCCUGUGGCGCAUUAGCUAGUUGGUGGGGUAAGGGCCUACCAAGGCGAUGAUGCGUAGCCGGACUGAGAGGUUGAACGGCCACAAUGGAACUGAGAACGGUCCAUACUCCUACGGGAGGCAGCAGUAGGGAAUUUUCGGCAAUGGGGGGAACCCUGACCGAGCAACGCCGCGUGAACGAAGAAGUUAUUCGUAAUGUAAAGUUCUUUUAUCAGGGAAGAAAGAGGAAUUUGACGGUACCUGAGGAAUAAGCUCCGGCUAACUACGUGCCAGCAGCCGCGGUAAUACGUAGGGAGCGAGCGUUAUCCGGAAUUAUUGGGCGUAAAGGGUGCGUAGAUGGCAUAGUAAGUCUUUUGUAAAAAUGCUGGGCUCAACCCAGUAGGGCAAAAGAUACUGCAAAGCUAGAGUAUGACAGAGGCAAGUGGAACUACAUGUGUAGCGGUAAAAUGCGUAAAUAUAUGUAAGAACACCAGUGGCGAAGGCGGCUUGCUGGGUCGAUACUGACAUUGAGGCACGAAAGCGUGGGGAGCAAACAGGAUUAGAUACCCUGGUAGUCCACGCCCUAAACGAUGAGUACUAAGUGUUGGUGAGAAUCAGUGCUGAAG
rnacentral:rRNA from 1 species